rnacentral:rRNA from 1 species
GACGAACGCUGGCGGCGUGCUUAACACAUGCAAGUCGAGCGGUAAGGCCCUUUCGGGGGUACACGAGCGGCGAACGGGUGAGUAACACGUGGGUGACCUGCCCUCAGCUCUGGGAUAAGCCUGGGAAACUGGGUCUAAUACCGGGAUAUGACUCCAUGACGCAUGUUGUGGGGUGGAAAGCCUUGUGCGGCUGGGGAUGGGCCCGCGGCCUAUCAGCUUGGUUGGUGGGGUGANGGCCUACCAAGGCGACGACGGGUAGCCGGCCUGAGAGGGCGACCGGCCAC